UCAUGGGGUGAACUGUAUAAAUCUAUUCUUCACUUUUUCAAUGUAAGAGUAAAGAAACGGAUCACACACAUCAUUUAUACAUAACAAUGAUUUGACUGAUAUCCUAAAUCUCCCAACCACAAAGCACUAGCCCAUUGCAUGCUUCUGGGUCCAGCUCCUAGCAGUUGCCUCGUACUUGGCCCUAUCUGUCUUGUACAUAUGAGCAAUUUCUGG
rnacentral:misc_RNA from 1 species